rnacentral:lncRNA from 10 species
UUCAGUUUGUCAGCGGGCUCAUGAGCUGCUAGCUCCAGAAGAUGCCUGAGACCCCACGUAGUCCAAUUUCUUCACCUACAGCUGAGAAAACUGAGGUGGGGAGAAGAGAAGACACAGCACGUUCUAGCAAAAAGUCAACAAAGACAUGUAGCAAAACCAGACCUUUGCUACCCAACCUCAAGGCACAUACGCCACAGUGGAGGAUCAAGGCAGAGACAUAGGCAGCAGAAGAAAGAUCCAGAACAUAACAGGACCUAAUUACUUCCAACAUGAGUGACAAAGACCAUAAACCCCAAAGGAAUUGCAGCGAGGGAAGCAUCAGCACAAGCUGAGAGACACGGAGUGGAAUUUGUACUGGAAAAUGCAUGUCCAGGAAUUGUGAGUAGGCGUUGGGGGACCCCUCAGGAGUCCACCCAACUGACGGAAGAGAGUUAACAUGGGAUACAUGUGGUUGGACACAUGGGAUGCAGCAGGGGUAGCUCACGGAGGGCACUGAACCUCAAACUAAUGAAUCUGGACCAGACUUA